rnacentral:rRNA from 1 species
GUCCACACAGUAAACGAUGAAUACUCGCUGUUUGCGAUAUACAGUAAGCGGCCAAGCGAAAGCAUUAAGUAUUCCACCUGGGGAGUACGCCGGCAACGGUGAAACUCAAAGGAAUUGACGGGGGCCCGCACAAGCGGAGGAACAUGUGGUUUAAUUCGAUGAUACGCGAGGAACCUUACCCGGGCUUAAAUUGCAAAUGAAUUAUGGGGAAACCCAUACGCCGCAAGGCAUUUGUGAAGGUGCUGCAUGGUUGUCGU